rnacentral:rRNA from 1 species
CUCCUACGGGGAGGCAGCAGUGGGGAAUAUUGCACAAUGGGCGAAAGCCUGAUGCAGCGACGCCGCGUGAGGGACGACGGCCUUCGGGUUGUAAACCUCUUUCAGCAGGGACGAAGCGAAAGUGACUGUACCUGCAGAAGAAGCACCGGCUAACUACGUGCCAGCAGCCGCGGUAAUACGUAGGGUGCAAGCGUUGUCCGGAUUUAGUUGGGAGUAAAGAGCUCGUAGGCGGUUUGUCGCGUCGGAUGUAGAAAACCUAUGGCUUAACCAUGGGCCUGCAUUCGAUACGGGCAAACUAGAGUUCGGUAGGGGAGACUGGAACUCCUGGUGUAGCGGUGAAAUGCGCAGAUAUCAGGAAGAACACCGGUGGCGAAGGCGGGUCUCGUGGGCCGAUACUGACGCUGAGGAGACGAAAGCGUGGGGAGCAAACAGGAUUAGAUACCCUGGUAG